AAAGUGUAAAGUGAAUGUGUACUGAAAGAAAAAAAUAACUCUUUUUUUUCUCAUAGCUCACAGUAAAAAUGAACUGGAAUCCGCAGAACCUAGCAUAGCACCUACGACUGAAUUACCAUUGAACACACUGGCUCCCUGGGAAAAAAAGUUUGUUCCUUCUACACCUAAACCAUCUGCCAGACCCAAAAUGCCACGAACUAAACCUGAAAAAGCAAUUCAUUUGGAAAGCAAUACACCUAAAUUUUCUAACACCCUUGAACUGCCAAGGACAACACUAGCACCCAGUAAAACAAAACGAAUUCCUUCCAAGCCUAAAGUCUCUCUCCAUCCAGAAGAACCCAAGACAAAACCGGCAGCAACCAGGAAACCUGUUCCAGUGCCAGUCACUAUUAAGAUUUCUUCUAUUACUGCUACUACUAAGACUCUUGAACAUCCGAAAUCCACAAUGGUUUCAUAUGAACCACAACACAUUCCUUCCAAACCUAAAGCAUCUGCCAGUGCCAUGCCAGAAAUGCCACAUAGUAAACCUGAAUCCAGUGAAAUACAUUUCACACCUUUGAAGCCCAAAUCAUCUACUGAACCUAAAAUGCCUCAAUCUAAACCUGCUCCAACUGAAACACAGUUCAUUCCUUCCAAACCUAACACGUCCCCAGAGCCAGAACUACCACAUCCUAAACCUGCUCCAAAAGAGACACGACGUGUUCCUUUGAAACCUAAAACAUCACCCAAACCUCAUGUGCCACAGACAAAACCUGGUAAAUGAUUUUCUGUGUCCUAUCGAAGUUUAUCUCUAA
ensembl:lncRNA